UACGUAGGGUGCAAGCGUUAAUCGGAAUUACUGGGCGUAAAGCGUGCGCAGGCGGUUAUGUAAGACAGGGGUGAAAUCCCCGGGCUCAACCCGGGAACUGCGUCCGAUACUGGAAGGCUUGAAUUCGGGAGAGGGAUGCGGAAUUCCAGGUGUAGCGGUGAAAUGCGUAGAUAUCUGGAGGAACACCGGUGGCGAAGGCGGCAUCCUGGACCGGCAUUGACGCUGAGGCGCGAAAGCCAGGGGAGCAAACAGG
rnacentral:rRNA from 1 species